rnacentral:ncRNA from 1 species
CGAACAGCAGGGAAGGGGAGGAGUAAGGUUGAUCCUCACUGAAGAGAGGAGGUCCUUGGGCUGAAAGACCUCUGGAGGCAAUGCCUGAAGUCGCCCUGGAGUUGGUCGCCUGAACAUAAGUAAGGCGGCCCGGCAAAAAAAGCCGUUAUCCAAAGGAGAGCGCAAGGAGCGUACCCUUUCCCUAUGGGGAUCAUCCAGGCGAAUGGUGUUUGACCCGAUGGAAAUUCCUUGCGAACUAAGGUGGUACCGCGAAGCAACCCUUCGUCCUUUUU